AACAAAAGAAUUGAAUGAAUGUGUUUUAAAUGAAUUAGCACCCACAGGGUCUAAGGGAAGGGGCCACAUGAAGGCCUAGUAUUUUGUAUUUGCACCAAGAUUUCUCACCUGCUUAGCUUUCUUUUUGUCCUAAUCCUGUAGAACCUUGACUUUUGACACCCUGGUUUUCUCUCAGGUACACCCAAAGGUUGUGAAAGCUUUCUGAAACUUCUUCCUCCACCAAAGACAUUUCCAGACUGUUCUGAUUGAUUCCAAGGCUGGGAGUACUAAGCAGCCUCAGCAGUUUGGAACAGGAGGCGGCACAGAUCAAGCAACUGCACUGAAGUGCAAUGAGCACCUUUUGGCACAAGUAAAAAGCAUUGUAAAAUAAAUGGCAAAUUAAUAAAGGUGUAUUUUCCUUUACACCACAGGAUCACUGUAUUUGAUGCCAUUAUUUUUAUGGCAUAACCCAUUCAAGUCGAUGGGACCCAAGUACAUUUUGGCAUUAAAAUAGCAUAAAAAGCG